rnacentral:lncRNA from 1 species
UCCUAACAGAGGGUGAUGUUAGUAUUACUGACAUGUGGGAAACAGCACGUAUCCUUUGUUUGAUCAUUCAUUAAACCUUAUUAGGCUAUUCACUAAUGUUUGAAAUAUAUACAUGCUAAGUAGUGAUUAUCUCAACUUGAAGUUCUUAACAUGGAAAAUAGCAGAAGUGCAGUGGGACACCGCUGUGUUUUUACCUGAAGAUGUUAGCAUCCCACAUGCACAUCAUAGUCCGCGGAUGCAGGUUCCAAGCAUGGAUCAACCAUAAGGUCAUGGCGGUGAAAACUUGACAUAUGGAAUUCCUGGAGUGCUGUUUCAGAAAAUACUGAUUUCAAAAUGGAAAGAUCAGGGCAGCAAGUUCAGACUGAUCACCGUUCUGAAUUUGCUGUUUGUUAUGGAGACGAUUGGUGCCAACUAACUUAUCAGUCUGCUGCCUUGUUUGUUCUGGCACCUGUCCUUCAGUUGAAAAGGCGCCCAUGUGCAUAUUGCACCUUGAAUUCGGGCUGCUAUGCACAUUCGGUAUCUGCUUUAUUUCUCUAACUGAGUAUAUUUUGCAAGGCAAUAGUGGCUCUGUAGCUCUCUUGGGAAUUAAUACGAAUCUUUUUGAGCAAAAACAGUAGGGAAGUCCCCUGUUGUGACUCUUUCAUUAUAUAAAUGGAGUUUAUACAAAGGGGUAAU